AUAGUUUUGAUAGUUUUAUACAUGUGGGAAAGUUCGAUUCACGAGAUGGAUUAAUUGUAUAAUUCACCCCCACUCCAACCCAUUUUGGCCUUCUGGGAAUCUGUAUUUAUUGUCCACAAAAGGUUUAAUCUUUAUUUGUGAUAGAAUAUAGUAGCUGACGCUGUUGAUUUUGUGUGUUGAAACAGGCCACCAUAGCUGAGAGAGCAAAUGCCUUCAGGCGACAGUGUUGCUAUCUGAAACUGCUGUUAGGCUGGUGUAUUUGUAUGUGAACAACAUAUAAGUAGUAGCUACUGUCAAUCUGUAGUUUAAGUAAAACAAAAUUGGUUCAGAAAAAAAAGAAUUGCAAAAUAGUGCAGAUGAUAACCAUUUCAUUUAACUGAUGUAGGACUUGCCUACAUUGGUAACCAAACCUCAAUUUGGAGACACUGCUUACCAAGAAAGUUUCUGGGUUUACUUCCUAUACAAUAAUAUCUUAAUUUAAGGCAAGAUCUGAAAAGACCCAAGAUUUUACGAGAAAAAGAUGAGUGAGUGUGAACAUGGAGUACAGGAAGCUCAAAGAUCAGGAUGAAAAUGGAAAUUCAGCUGCCGACGACAUAAAAAAUUUACGGGGAAAUCCGCUUUCUAUUGCACCAACUAUGGGAGAUGGGUCAAUAGACCAAAAAUGGAAGCACAAGUAUGAUUGAAGUAGAGGAGCUUCAGCCAUAUUCACAUGGAUAUACAGAGCUAAACUUUUUCUGAAGGAUGAGGGAACAAUGAUGUGACCCACAUUGACACCAUAUUCAAUAAUAUAUAAGACCUCUGCUUAAUUAAGAUGGCAGAAAAGAAUGCAGUGGAGGAUUUUAAUCGAGGAAGCUGAGAAUAAGUAGGACGACGACAUGUGGACAUCAGUGAACAACCAAAGAAAUAAGCUUUUCCAGAGAUGGAUGUCCAAGGAUGCUAUUGAUUUAUUUUGAUUGAGGUGAGAGGGAAUCUAGAAGACAAUUAUCUCAGUUCUUGAUAGUGCUCAUGGCCUCUGUAAGUGUGGCUCCUUUAUCUGGAUUAGGAGACGGCAGUGGAAAUACGGUUGCCCAGUGAGAUGAAUAACAUGAAAAUUAGGGAUGACGUACAAGAUAAACAAUACCCACUUAUUAUUGGCUCAAUCUUUGAUCCUGCUGUGGACUUUUCAAAAGGAGUAUUCUUCUUUUCUUAUCAGUUAUGACUUAUGGAGUUGGUCUCGGGUCUUGGUGGCUGAAAUUUUUUUUGUUACAAUGUAGGCAUUAAGGAGUUGACCUGGCUUAUAUGCUCAUUGGUAUUGAAAAGAGACACCUACCUGAAGCAUAGCCGGAAGCAAAAUUGAGCUGUGAAAAUCUUAAUCAAAGAUUUUGUAGUGAACCUUGAACGGCAGGAGACGUGAUGAUUUAGAAUGUUGAUGAGGAAAUACUGUAGUCAUGGGAGAUUCUUCUGCAGCAUUCAUACACACGUAACUGUUGAUGGCAAAGCUUCUAUCCCAAAAUUCCAUAUUUGCAAUAUGUAAAUAUACAAAUCUACUUAAAUACCAACUUUUGUAAUAUGUACAGUUAUGACAUUCACCAAUAAACGUUUCUUAGUUUAUGGUUCU